UUCCCCCAGUAGCGGCGAGCGAACGGGGAGCAGCCCAGAGCCUGAAUCAGUAUGUGUGUUAGUGGAAGCGUCUGGAAAGGCGCGCGAUACAGGGUGACAGCCCCGUACACAAAAAUGCACAUGCUGUGAGCUCGAUGAGUAGGGCGGGACACGUGGUAUCCUGUCUGAAUAUGGGGGGACCAUCCUCCAAGGCUAAAUACUCCUGACUGACCGAUAGUGAACCAGUACCGUGAGGGAAAGGCGAAAAGAACCCCGGCGAGGGGAGUGAAAAAGAACCUGAAACCGUGUACGUACAAGCAGUGGGAGCACGCUUAGGCGUGUGACUGCGUACCUUUUGUAUAAUGGGUCAGCGACUUAUAUUCUGUAGCAAGGUUAACCGAAUAGGGGAGCCGAAGGGAAACCGAGUCUUAACUGGGCGUUAAGUUGCAGGGUAUAGACCCGAAACCCGGUGAUCUAGCCAUGGGCAGGUUGAAGGUUGGGUAACACUAACUGGAGGACCGAACCGACUAAUGUUGAAAAAUUAGCGGAUGACUUGUGGCUGGGGGUGAAAGGCCAAUCAAACCGGGAGAUAGCUGGUUCUCCCCGAAAGCUAUUUAGGUAGCGCCUCGUGAAUUCAUCUCCGGGGGUAGAGCACUGUUUCGGCAAGGGGGUCAUCCCGACUUACCAACCCGAUGCAAACUGCGAAUACCGGAGAAUGUUAUCACGGGAGACACACGGCGGGUGCUAACGUCCGUCGUGAAGAGGGAAACAACCCAGACCGCCAGCUAAGGUCCCAAAGUCAUGGUUAAGUGGGAAACGAUGUGGGAAGGCCCAGACAGCCAGGAUGUUGGCUUAGAAGCAGCCAUCAUUUAAAGAAAGCGUAAUAGCUCACUGGUCGAGUCGGCCUGCGCGGAAGAUGUAACGGGGCUAAACCAUGCACCGAAGCUGCGGCAGCGACGCUGAUGCGUUGUUGGGUAGGGGAGCGUUCUGUAAGCCUGCGAAGGUGUGCUGUGAGGCAUGCUGGAGGUAUCAGAAGUGCGAAUGCUGACAUAAGUAACGAUAAAGCGGGUGAAAAGCCCGCUCGCCGGAAGACCAAGGGUUCCUGUCCAACGUUAAUCGGGGCAGGGUGAGUCGACCCCUAAGGCGAGGCCGAAAGGCGUAGUCGAUGGGAAACAGGUUAAUAUUCCUGUACUUGGUGUUACUGCGAAGGGGGGACGGAGAAGGCUAUGUUGGCCGGGCGACGGUUGUCCCGGUUUAAGCGUGUAGGCUGGUUUUCCAGGCAAAUCCGGAAAAUCAAGGCUGAGGCGUGAUGACGAGGCACU
rnacentral:rRNA from 1 species